AUUGAACGCUGGCGGCAGGCCUAACACAUGCAAGUCGAACGAGUGGCGGACGGGUGAGUAAUGUCUGGGAAACUGCCUGAUAGAGGGGGAUACCUACCGGCAACGGUAGCUAAUACCGCAUACCAUCAGAUGUGCCCAGAUGGGAUUCGCUUGUUGGUGGGGUAACGGCGCACAAAGCCGACGAUCCCUAGCUGGUCUGAGAGGAUGACCAGCCACACUGGAACGGAGACACGGUACAGACUCGUACGUGAGGCAUCAGUGGGGAUUAGGGCACAAUGGGCGCAAGCCUGAUGCAGCCAUGCGGCGGGUAUGAAGAAGGCCUUCGGGUUGUAAAGUACUUUCAGCGGGGAGGCGUUACCCGCAGAGGAAGCACCGGCGAACUCCGUGCCAGCAGCCGCGGUAAUUC
rnacentral:rRNA from 1 species